GCUAUCGGCCUCACCACGUUGAAUACGCCGGUUCUCGUCCGAUCACCAAAGCUAACCAAUGUUGGGCCUGAUUAGUACUUUGAAGGGACAUCGCCUAAAAACACCGGGUGUUGCUAGCA
rfam:Tropilaelaps mercedesae isolate Wuxi-XJTLT scaffold0000033223, whole genome shotgun sequence.